UAAGUUAGUCGCAUGAGUUUGACAACCGCCACAUUCAGAAAAAUGAAAUUUUUUACACGAUGGAUUUCGAUCAAACAAAAUGCCAUUGUGUAGCUUGUGAUCUCAGGAGUCUGGCAAGGUAAUUAGUUUUUCAAUCGGACCAAUAUCGGCUGAACGAUAAG